ACUGAUAAAGACAACACCCAGAAACUGUUGGUCCUGGGAGAAGGGCCAACAGCCAGCGCCAACGGGUUUAAACAAAGCAUUGUACCGUGGUCUAGUGUUUUCCCCUCUUUUAUUCUGUUCUGUCCGAUUGCGCGUCCAGCGUAAUCCUUCCCAAAUCGCGUACUUCGUGUGUGUGUUUAAGAUUCGGUGCCAAGCCGAGGUUGUGUUUCGAUUCAUCGAUCGGAUAACGCGACCAAAGGUGCUUGAGCGGAACCGCGUCAUAAUCCUGAAGCACACUCCUGUUCGAAAGUUUCGAUGUAGCAAAGCGCUGAGUGUGUGUCUGUGUGCGUGAGAGCAAGAGUGG